UGCUGUCAGGUGUUUUCAGUCAGUUCAGGUGUGGCACCCCAUAAACAAAACUGCAUGAUAUUAAUUACCUGCUGUUCAAAAGAAAUACGGGCCUAUGAAAAAUAUUUCAAAGAAGCUGAGAAGACAUUUUGGAUUAAAAUAUUUGGGCUUUCAUCAGUCUGCUGUUGUAUAUCUCAUCAGAAGCAAAGACUUUGAAAGCGAGGACAGUUUCGGGAGCUCAGAGAGCACGUUUGGUGGCGAGCAUCUUUUAGCACCCUGCCCAGAUGGCGCACGACGAUCGGAUGUGGGGGAGCCACCAAUAAAUAUAUUUCCACAUUUAAACCACGAAAGAGGAAAGGAGUGUCGAUCAAAGAGCCAGAUCUCCGAGACAGGAGAUGGGGAUGCCUCGGAGUCCAGAGAGGGCAGCACAAGUGUGGCAUUGUGGGCUAAAGGAGAGACGGCCAUUGUUCCUGCCCGCUGCCUGCCACAGCUGUGCACGAAUAAGAGCAGGGACAAACCACAACAUAUAUCAAUGUGGAGGCUGUGAGGGAUGGUCCACGGGUGUCCACACUCAAAGAAGCCUAGUGUCUUUCAACUAAAAAAAGCCAAAGGGCGCACAAAUCACUAAAGGUGACGCUUUUAUUGCUUUCAAUCCACAGGAGGAGACAAGAGAGCUAGUAAAAGGAACUGAUUCCUGAGGAAUAGAAAAUGCAUUUGUGUGAGAGAUAAUAUCUGUCUAUGCACACAUGCAUAUAUACAGUGAAUAUACUUAAUUUAAAAUUUAAACUUUUUUUACAGAGU
rnacentral:lncRNA from 1 species